GUGGUGAGAGUAGACAACCUUGUCUUGUUCCAGUUCUCAUGAAGACUGUUUCCAGCUUUUGCCCAUUCACUAUGAUGUUAGCUGUGGGUUUGUCAUCGAUAGCUCUCAUUAUUUUGAGGUAUGUUCCUUCAAUGCCUAGUUUCUUAAGGGUUUAUAUCAUGAAGUAGUGUUGGAUUUUAUCAAAAGCUUUUUUUCCACAUCUAUUGAGAUUAUCAUGUGGUGUUUUUAGGUCUGUUUAUGUGCUAAAUCACAUCUGUUGAUUUGCAUAUAUUGAAACAACCUGGCAUCCCACGAAUGAAGCCUACCUGAUCAUGAUAAAUUAACUUUUUGACAUGCUGUUGGAUAUGGUUUGCUAGUAUUUUGUUGAGGACUUUUGCAUUAUAUUCAUCAGGGAUAUUCACCUGUGUUCUUUUUUUCAUUGUGUCUUUGCCAGGUUUUGGUAUCAGGGUGAUGCCGGCUUUGCAGAAUGAGCUCAGGAGGAGUCCCUCCUUAAUUCUUUGGGAGAGUUUCAGUAUAAUUGGUACCAGCUCUUCUUGUUACAUCUUGUGGAAUUUGACUGUGAAUCCAUCUGGUCUGGGGCUUUUCGGGGUUGGUAGACUUUUAAUUACUGAUUCAAUUUCAGAACUUGACACUGGUCUGUUCAGAGUUUCAAUUUCUUUAUUCAAUCUUGGGAGAUUGUGUUUCCAGAAAUUUACCCAUUUCCUAUAGAUUUUCUACUUUGUGUGCAUGAACUGUUCAUAAUGGUUUUUGAGGAUCUUUGGUAUUGAUUUGUAUUUUUAUUGCACUGUGGUCCAAGAAUAUGGUUAAUAAGAUUUUGAUUUUUUAAAAUUUAUUGAGACUUGCUUUAUGGCCAAGCAUGUAAUCAAUAUUGGCAUAUGUUCUGUAUGUAGAUAAGAAUAAUGCAUAAUCUAGAGUUGAUGAAUGGAGUGUUCUGUAGAUGUCUGUUAGGUCCAAUUGGUCAACUGUUGAGUUUAAGUCAAGAAUUUGUGUUAGUUUUCUUAGAAUUGAGUUUAAGUCCAGAAUUGGUUAGAAUUGAAGAAUUUGUUUUGUUAGAAUUUAAGUCCAGAAUUUGUUAGAAUUGAGAAUUUUGUUAGAAUUUAAGUCCAGAAUUUGUUAGAAUUGAGUUUAAGUCCAGAAUUUGUGUUAGUCCAGAAUUUGUGUCUAAUGCUGAUAGUGGGGUUUUAAGGCCCCCACUAUUAUUGUGUGGCUGUCUGUGUCCUUUCAUAGGUCCUAGAAGUGCUUGCUUUAUGAAUCUGGGUGCUCCAAUGUUGGGUGUGAAUAAAUUUAGGAUAGUUAUGUCUUCUUGUUGAAUAGAACACUUUGUUAUAUAAUGCCCUUUUUUUUUUUUUUUUUUUUUUUUUUUUUUUAAGAGAUGUAGUCUCACUCUGUCACCCAGGCUGGAGUGCAGUGGCGUGAUCUCGGCUCACUGCAAGCUCUGCCUCCUGGGUUCAUGCCAUUCUCCUGCCUCAGCCUCCCGAGUAGCUGGGAUUAUAGGUACCCGCCACCAUGCCCGGCUAAUUUUUGUAUUUUUCAUAGAGACGGGGUUUCACCAUAUUAGCCAGGAUAGUCUCGAAAUCCUGACCUCAUGAUUUGCCCACCUCAGCCUCCCAAAGUGCUGGGAUUACAGGUGUGAGCCACUGCGCCCGGCCUCUUUGUUCUUUUUUACUGUUGUUGGUUUAAUGUAUGUUUGAUCAGACAUAAGAACAGUGACUUCUGCUUUUUUUUUCCAUUUACAUGGUAGAUCUUUCUCCAACCCCUUACUUGGAGCUUAUGAGUGCUGCUAUGAGAUGGGUCUUUUGAAGACAACAGACAGAUGGGUCUUGUUUUUUUAUCCAAAUUGCCACUCUGUGACUUUUAAGUGUGGUGUUUAGACCAUUUGCAUUCAGGUUAAUAUUGAUAUGUGAAGUUUUGAUCAUAUCGUGAAGUCAUUAGCUAGUUGCUUUGUAGUUUCUAUAGUGCUUGUCUCAGAAAGCUCAAGGCUGCCCAAAGAAUUCAUUCUUUUUUUUUGUCUUGGCAACAACUGACUAUAGGCCCCUGACUUCCCUUUCUUACAGGGUUUAUCGAAAAAAGAUAAACAAUUGUGAGACCCUCUUAUUCCCUUUUCUGAGAUGUACAUGUGUCUCCUACACAUCAGGAGUAUCUUUCUCAAGUCUCUGAAAAUCAUUCCUUUGACAUGAAAUCAUGAGGAAGCAAAAGGCCUCUGUCUUUCAGUCUCUGUGGGAGAACAGAAUUCUAACUUCCAUAAUGGCCAGCUAGCAGGCACAGCCGCCUACUCUCACUUACACUUAC
rnacentral:lncRNA from 10 species